rnacentral:rRNA from 1 species
AGAGUUUGAUCCUGGCUCAGGACGAACGCUGGCGGCGUGCUUAACACAUGCAAGUCGAGCGAGGCCCUCCUUCGGGGGGUGCCCUAGCGGCGAACGGGUGAGUAACACGUGGGCAACCUGCCCUCAGCUCUGGGAUAACUCCAAGAAAUUGGUGCUAAUACCGGAUGUGACCGCUGACCGCAUGGUCUGGUGGUGGAAAGAUUCAUCGGCUGAGGAUGGGCCCGCGGCCUAUCAGCUUGUUGGUGGGGUAAUGGCCCACCAAGGCGACGACGGGUAGCCGGCCUGAGAGGGUGACCGGCCACACUGGGACUGAGACACGGCCCAGACUCCUGCGGGAGGCAGCAGUGGGGAAUAUUGCGCAAUGGGCGAAAGCCUGACGCAGCGACGCCGCGUGAGGGAUGACGGCCUUCGGGUUGUAAACCUCUUUCAGUAGGGACGAAGCGCAAGUGACGGUACCUACAGAAGAAGCACCGGCCAACUACGUGCCAGCAGCCGCGGUAAUACGUAGGGUGCAAGCGUUGUCCGGAAUUAUUGGGCGUAAAGAGCUCGUAGGCGGUCUGUCACGUCGGCUGUGAAAACCCGAGGCUCAACCUCGGGCCUGCAGUCGAUACGGGCAAACUAGAGUACUGCAGGGGAGACUGGAAUUCCUGGUGUAGCGGUGAAAUGCGCAGAUAUCAGGAGGAACACCGGUGGCGAAGGCGGGUCUCUGGGCAGUAACUGACGCUGAGGAGCGAAAGCGUGGGGAGCGAACAGGAUUAGAUACCCUAGUAGUCC